GAAUAGACGAUGAUAGAGACAGUAAAUAUUUUUGAAAAAUCACAGCGAGCUGGGAAUGGUGGAAGCCUAGUAUUUACUAGAUCAUGUUGAAUAUCCCUCUGGAGUUUCAGACCGAAUUUUGAGUAGGUACUGGCGGUUUUCUACCGUUAAUAAGAGCACAUAUGUUGGUAUGUAGUAUCAGGUGGUAUAACGAAAUUUAGGCUUUCGUCCUGUUA
rnacentral:ncRNA from 1 species